ACGAACGCUGGCGGCGUGCCUAAUACAUGCAAGUAGAACGCUGAAGAGAGGAGCUUGCUCUUCUUGGAUGAGUUGCGAACGGGUGAGUAACGCGUAGGUAACCUGCCUUGUAGCGGGGGAUAACUAUUGGAAACGAUAGCUAAUACCGCAUAACAAUGGAUGACACAUGUCAUUUAUUUGAAAGGGGCAAUUGCUCCACUACAAGAUGGACCUGCGUUGUAUUAGCUAGUAGGUGAGGUAACGGCUCACCUAGGCGACGAUACAUAGCCGACCUGAGAGGGUGAUCGGCCACACUGGGACUGAGACACGGCCCAGACUCCUACGGGAGGCAGCAGUAGGGAAUCUUCGGCAAUGGGGGCAACCCUGACCGAGCAACGCCGCGUGAGUGAAGAAGGUUUUCGGAUCGUAAAGCUCUGUUGUAAGUCAAGAACGAGUGUGAGAGUGGAAAGUUCACACUGUGACGGUAGCUUACCAGAAAGGGACGGCUAACUACGUGCCAGCAGCCGCGGUAAUACGUAGGUCCCGAGCGUUGUCCGGAUUUAUUGGGCGUAAAGCGAGCGCAGGCGGUUUGAUAAGUCUGAAGUUAAAGGCUGUGGCUCAACCAUAGUUCGCUUUGGAAACUGUCAAACUUGAGUGCAGAAGGGGAGAGUGGAAUUCCAUGUGUAGCGGUGAAAUGCGUAGAUAUAUGGAGGAACACCGGUGGCGAAAGCGGCUCUCUGGUCUGUAACUGACGCUGAGGCUCGAAAGCGUGGGGAGCGAACAGGAUUAGAUACCCUGGUAGUCCACGCCGUAAACGAUGAGUGCUAGGUGUUGGAUCCUUUCCGGGAUUCAGUGCCGCAGCUAACGCAUUAAGCACUCCGCCUGGGGAGUACGACCGCAAGGUUGAAACUCAAAGGAAUUGACGGGGGCCCGCACAAGCAGUGGAGUAUGUGGUUUAAUUCGAAGCAACGCGAAGAACCUUACCAGGUCUUGACAUCCUACUAACGAGAUAGAGAUAUGUUAGGUGCCCUUCGGGGAAAGUAGAGACAGGUGGUGCAUGGUUGUCGUCAGCUCGUGUCGUGAGAUGUUGGGUUAAGUCCCGCAACGAGCGCAACCCCUAUUGUUAGUUGCCAUCAUUCAGUUGGGCACUCUAGCGAGACUGCCGGUAAUAAACCGGAGGAAGGUGGGGAUGACGUCAAAUCAUCAUGCCCCUUAUGACCUGGGCUACACACGUGCUACAAUGGUUGGUACAACGAGUUGCGAGUCGGUGACGGCAAGCUAAUCUCUUAAAGCCAAUCUCAGUUCGGAUUGUAGGCUGCAACUCGCCUACAUGAAGUCGGAAUCGCUAGUAAUCGCGGAUCAGCACGCCGCGGUGAAUACGUUCCCGGGCCUUGUACACACCGCCCGUCACACCACGAGAGUUUGUAACACCCGAAGUCGGUGAGGUAACCUUUUGGAGCCAGCCGCCUAAGGUGGGAUAGAUGAUUGGGGUG
rnacentral:rRNA from 1 species